UACAGAGGUCCCAAGCGUUGUUCGGAUUCACUGGGCGUAAAGGGUGCGUAGGUGGUGAGGUAAGUCGGAUGUGGAAUCUCCAAGCUCAACUUGGAAACUGCAUUGGAAACUACCUUGCUAGAGGAUUUGAGGGGGGAUUGGAAUACUUGGUGUAGCAGUGAAAUGCGUAGAUAUCAAGUGGAACACCAGUGGCGAAGGCGAAUCCCUGGAAAAUACCUGACACUGAGGCACGAAAGCUAGGGGAGCAAACAGG
rnacentral:rRNA from 1 species